UUCUUUAUCAUACCUAUUUAUACUACUUGUAAACUUAUAACCUGCAUCCUACUAUUUUCAUAGGCUUCUCCUUUAAAUUAUUGAUGUUCGACAUUAUUGAACGACAAAAAAUGAUACAAUCCAUCCAAAACAUUGUGUUCAUUAAAACAAUAUGAUACAACACAAUCCUAUACAAUGUCAUACAUUAUGAAUAAAUAUAUAACAACGAUCCGAACAGAGUGUUGAAGGGUGGUUGCCCCUCGUUCUGCCACAAAGUGGAAAACGGAUUUAACUGUUGUGGAUAUGAACCAUGAAGAGGCAGUUAUGAUAAUUAUAUUUGGGCUAACCAAUUUGGGCAUGGAGAUGACCUGUUCCAAUCUUGGCGUGGCAACCCAGUAUGAAAUGUGAUUGAGACUUCUCUCCCAUGCAACUGGCGUUUGCAGCCAUGUUCUGGCUGGCUUCUCUUUUGCCUUAUCAUAAAACACAUCUGGGCACCUUUUGCUCGGAAAGAGAGGAGAAAAAGAAUGUUUUUCUGUGAUAUAAUUUUAGUAUAUGUUGAACCUGCCAUUUUCUGAUACAAUAAUGUAUCACCAUGUGUUCCGUAUUUGCUGAACAUAGCAUAGAAGGUAAGAAAAAUGAGGAAUCAGAGAGGUUGGGAUUUCCUGUAAAGGGUGGUUGCCCCUCUCUGCUAUGCCCAUGAUUCUCCAUUCAUAACCAAAAAAACCAACAGCCCUUUGUUAUAAACAAAAUAAAAUAAAAUUCUUUGUGCUGCUGCUGCUGCUUAUCUUGUAAAGAGGCUGUGAAGAGUUAUGGUCUACGUUCAAUCUCGACAUUGAGAAAUAUCCGACCUGUAUAUUGGCUGCGGGACCCAGUAUGUCUUUAUGUAGCUAACUGUUGUCUGCAGCCAUGUUGUGGUCACCUUCUCUUUUGCUGUGGUACAAAAACACAAAAUCUGAGCCUAUGACCAUUCAUUGUCUUCAAGAGACAGUUCAUUAUUGAAGGUGAAAAAUUCCAAAGAGUUUACCCAAAAUACGGAAGGUUACCCAGAAAGACUGAAAGAAAUGAGGCAAAACGGAGGGUAGCGAGACUUUCUUUAAAGGGUGGUUGCUCCUAUCCGUUUUUCCAUUGAUUUUCCUCCAUUAUCAAACAACCAACAACGCUUUGUUUCAUGAGAAAAAGAGAAAGAGAAAAUACGAAAUGCAAAAUGGAUUUAACUUAUAUACACAUCUUUUCUUGUGUGUGUGUGUACAUGUGUUUACUGUGUUGAUGAAAGGUACAUAAAGAGGCAGUGAUGAUGAUGUUUCUAUAUCUGGGCUAACCAAUUUGGGCCUGGAGAUGACCCAUCCCGUAUCUUGGUGUGGCAACACGGUAUGGCCUGUGAUUGGGACUUCUCUCCCAGGCAAACGGGGUUUGCAGCCAUGGCGUGGGUGGCUUCUCUUUUGCCUUAUCAUAAAAUACAUCUAUGCCCCAUUUGCUUUAAAAGAGGAAAAAAAAGGAACUUUUCGGUGAUUUAAUUUUAUGUUGAACCUGUAAUUUUCUGCUACAAGCUAUAAAUCAUCUUAUAGUCCCAAUGUAUCACCAUAUUUGUUCACUGUCAGCUGAUCAUGGCCUUGAAAGGAUGAAGAAUGAGGCAUCAUAGGGAUUGGGGUUUUCCUUAAAGGGUGGGUUGCCCCUCUGCUAUGCCAGUGAUUUCCAUUGAUAUCCAAAAAAUUAACAGCUCUUUGAAGACAACAAGAUAGGAAAAAAACAAAAUCGUCAUCCAAACAUGUCCUUUUGGAACAGUUACAGUCAUUGCAUUGAGAUUAUUGGACCCCACUUAUGGGAUACACUAGGUAUGCUUUUUGUUGCUUGAGUAUAUUAUUCACAGCUCGCUUGGAUGGUUGUUAUCGUGACAGUGUUUCUGUGCCCUUCAAAUAUUUUUCUUUUCUUUUUUAAUGCUUUUGCAUAGCAUUGUAUGUUGACGGUGGGAGUGGUAGAAGCGAUGGUGGUGAGUAUAAUCAGUCUGCUUGAAAGAGGUGAGACAAUGAUUUUGAUCAAAUUUUAAUUCCCUUCUGAGCUGAUUAAUUGCACAUUUGAGGUUAUCUGAUCCUUAAAGAAUUCUGAUGGUCUUGCAGCCAUGGCAUUGCUGGGACUCUCUUUUUGAAAGUUGAUGUUAGUGUUUGUUUUGUUCUUUCUCUUUUAUUUGGCUCGUAGCUAUUCUCUUCUGAUCCCAUUGAUGUUUGAAACGCUUAUUAUGUCGAGAUUUUUUUUUAUUUGAGUCGGAUGUAUGACAGAAAAUGAGUCUUGUCCUUAAAGAUUGGGUAAGGUCUAAGUACAUCCUAACCUUCGACUACACCAAGUAUGUUAUUGUUGAAUGGAUGAUGAAAAUAGCUUUUACUAACAUUUGUUAGCAGUCUUAUUGACGUCUUACUGUAAUAUUUUAGUCUUUGCUUAAUUUUACUUUGAGUUUGAGAUUUUCUUUAUUUGUCUAUUUAUGAUGUUUUUGGAGUUCGCUUACACUUUAUACAUAUUUAAUAGCAUUGAUACUACUAAAUUGUAUACUGCUAUUGUUUCUACUGCAAUGUUUUACUUUUAUCAUCUUGUUUUUGGUUUCACUAAAUUUUAUAUAUUCUGAGCUUUUAGUUCUUUAAUAUAUGCCAAAUUUGUUAUAUUAUUUUGUGUAUUAAUUUUAGCAGAGGCUUUCUACUGUUCGGCUGCAACUUCUCUUAAAUGGAGUGUUCCCAAUUAGGCUCGUCUGCGUAUUGUACUCUCUGAGAAGCUACAAAUUCGGGCAUAGCCAAGAAUGGAAGAAGAAUGAGGCGACAGAGAAUUUGGGAUUUUCUGUAAGCGGUGGUUGCCCAUCUCCAGUUUGCCAGUGAUUUCUUCGUUACACAAAAAACCAACAACCCUGUUAAAUGAUCCAGGAAACACGCGUAGGUACUCUUCUAUCUCUUCGACUUCUCUUUCUCUGCAUUUUUUGCUGCUGAUGUUGUAAUGGGGCUAUGAUGAUUGAUUGCUUCCUUUCUGGGCUAUGUUCAAUCACAGCAAUGAGAAAACCCCGACACGUAUCUUGGCAGGGCAACCCAGUUAAGGCUUUGAAUAGCAAACUGGUGUCUGCAGCCAUGGCGGCGCCGCUUUUCUUUUUUGCUUUAUUAAGAAUUACAGCAAAAUCUGAGCCCUCCAUUUCGUGUUCUUGAAUGGUGAUUUCAUUCUUGGGUCAGAAAUCCCAUUACGGGUUUGAGACGAAGAAUGAGGCAUCUGAGAAAUUGGGAUUUUCUGUGAAGGGUGGUUGCCCUUCUCUGUUUUGCCAGUGAUAUCGCCAUUCAUAACCAAAAAACAACAACAGCCCUUUAAAAUAAACAAAAUAAAUAAAUAAAAAAUUGGAUGAACUUCGUCCGAACACACACUUGUACUUUUGAUGUUGUGUUGUUGAUGAUGAUGUUGUAAAGGGGCUGUGAUGAUUGCUUGCUUCCUUUUUGAGCUUUUUUUCAAUCACGACAUUGAGAAAUCCGACCCGUGUCUUGGUGGGGCAACCUGGUUAAGGCUUUGAAUAGCAAAUUAGUGUCUGCAGCCAUGGCGUUGUCGCUCUUCUCUAUUGCUUGAUUCAAAUAUAGCAAAUCUGAGCCCUCAAUAAUUUGUUUCAUGGUUUUGGAUGGCGAGUCUUCUCUGAUGGGAAAACCUAUUAUGGGUUUGUGUUGAAAUUUCAGCUCCGAAGAAUGAGGUAUACAACAAAUGGGAAAUUCGAAGAUUAAAAAAAUAAAUAAUUUCCCUAAACAUGGAAAAGGUUAGCCUAGAAGGAAAGAAAUGAGCCAAAUUUAUCUUAUUUUAUUCUUUACCAUACCUAUUUAAAGUAGUGUUUAUCCCCAAAUUUGAUGCCCUUUUUCUAUAUCUUGAUAGUCCAAAAAUUCCGAGGCUAUGAAGUUUAUCUUAAAAACAACUGAAAAACAUUUGAGUUAAUUCCAAGUUGUGGCUUGGCAAAGAAAACUUGAAAGGUCUUUGAAGGAGGAUGAGAAAUAAUAAGUUUCUUGUAGUCCCUUCUUACGAGGCAACCAAUCUUUGCAGCCAUGCCUGUUUUAGCUCUGUUCUUUGAUUACAUAGGCGAAAAUCUGAGCCUCCUACCUCAAUUUUACUUAAUGUUUCAUGAUCUGAUCACUGAAACAGUAUCUGUUAGUGGCUUUCUUGAAUUGAUCUAAAAAUUCAGUUACUGCUUUUAAAUCUUAAAAUUGAUUUUAUUUUUCAAAAGUGUUGUGGGAUAAUUUGGUUUUCAUGAAAAAAGUGGCAAAAAAUGGCAUGGUCUCGAGUCUUGAUGUCUUCAUGUCUCCACUAACUUAUUUCUGAAAUUUGGUGACUGGUCCCAAGCAAGAUUGAUGAUAGCUAACACAGGUGAUGGUGAAUGUUGAUAGGAAAGUAAAACAUUCAUUUCUGAAAUUUGAUGACUGGUCCCAAACAAGAGUCGAUGAUAGCAAACACAGGUGACGAUGAAUGUUGAUAGGAAAGUAGAACUACUUUUAGCUUCAACUGACAAGUCUAUCUAAAGUUUGGUCUGUAAUUAACUUGGUUUAUUGGUCUUUCUUUUUCAUUAUCACUUAUCCUAAUGUUAGGUAAUUAUAACUUCUAUGCAUCAUGAGUAUAUCUCUUACAAUGAAUCCCUCAAAUUGUCAAUGCAUGGUGAAUUCUCUGUUAGCGCUCUUUUGUAAGUCAGAAUAACCUUGAGUCUCACUGGACUUUUACUUGGCAUGCUCAAAGCCUCUUGUUGCAAGGUCUUUAGCAUUUUGAAGACAAUUACAGAACUUUUGCCUUACGAUUCCAAGAAUUCUGGGAGGUGAUUCUUUAUUUUGCACUUUCUUGUGGUGCCUUUUGAGACUCUUCACUAAGAAAAUCACUGUACAUUUAGUUGGAACAGGUGUGAGAAGGGGAGGAAGAGGCUUUGAGAAGUAGUAGUAUUUUAAUAUCGUCGUCUGGAAAUAUUUGAUGUUUAGACAUCUCUUUUUGCAUUGUUCUGUAGAAUAUGAUAUUUGGAACAUGUUAUCUCUACUUUUGGCAUAUGAAAGCUGGUGUAUGGGAAAUUGAAAAAUCCAUCAAAAAGGUUUGGGAAUUAGUACCUGCUGCUAUUUUUUGGGGGAUCUGCAAUGAACGGAAUUGUAGAUGCUUUGAUGAGAUUUUAAACCUACACAUCAAGCAAAAUGCUUUAGUGAUUGAAUAGUUAUGUUGUGUAUAUGAGCAAGCUGUAAUUUUUGCUUGCAUCUUCUGGAUGCCUUAAAUGAAUUACUUUUACUUCAUCAAAAUAAGUAUUCCCAAGGUCAAAGCAAAAAUCCCCAAAAAACAUUCUUUUUUGUUGAUAUGAGUUGCUCAUCCUGACGAUGUAGUUAUUUUGGAGGAAAUCAGCUGAAGACCAGCUGAGUGCAAUGUACAUCUUCUUGGUGCACGGACAGAAAACAAAUUGCUUUAUUAUACUUAAUAAAUGGGGCUUAAAGACAUAGUUUCAUGAUGUUUAACCAUUUUCUUAAUCUUGUCCAAAUCUUGCAGACUCUUUCGGAGAUGAAGAGAAGGAACACUUUCAUACCCGGGUCUGCCGUGGCUGUAAAAAGUAAACUCUAUGCAUGAAGUUGUCAUUUGCAUAAUGAUAUGCAUAGUACUUCAGGGCAUGGAGAACUUAUUAAAAAUGGUUUGUGAUUUCUACUUCACCUCUAUUUUUAUGUCUUAUCUUCAUUUUAACUUAAUAUUUUCUGAAAUUCUAUGCAUGUUGUUAAUGAGCAAUUGUUUGUCAUCAUCAAUUUAUAUGUGAAACUUAAGGUUGUCCUAUGGCUGUGAGUUAAAGAAAUGAAAUUUGGCUCUCAAUGUGUCUAAGGUGAAAUAUUAUUGUUGUGAUUCUCACAAGGGGAAUCACAAUCGAUGCGGAAACAAAAGAAAAGAUAGAAGAAGAGACACAGAUAAGAAACAAUUGGCAACCAAAGGAUGUAUUAAUCCAAUAACCUCCAAUCUAGAUUGAGGAUUACUAUAAACUGGCAUGUCAAUGUGGUACUGUGAACAUUGCUAUAGCUUGGUCAUUUGUUUUUUUCUUGAUACAUUCACAGCUGCCGCUGACAUUUAUCAAAUUGGGUGUCCAUAUUACACAUCUAUUGCUUGAACCCCGGAAUUUAACAAAAAAUGAAAAACUUUUUUGUUCGACCAUCUUUGUUAGCUUUUAUUUCUAUUUAAACAUGAAAGUUUUUUUGUAUAGACUAGGAAAUGAUUUUGUAAAAAUGAAUACUAUGCAAUAAACAAAACUUAGAUCACAAAUAUCAUGGCCACAUAGAUCAAAUCCAAGCUUGUAACUUUAUUAUAGCUAUUUAAAUAGGUUCUUCAAUUUUGACAUAGGAUAUUAUACGAUAAAUCUAUUAAAAUUAAAAUGAAUUGAAAUUGUUUUAAUCGUUAAGAAUAAAAUCACAUGCAAUCAUUCUUAAAUCACCUUGAAAAACAUCAACAUUCAUCAUUCUUAAUAUUUAACACAACAACUUAAAGUUUAAUUACUAAAUUGAAAUCAUAAAUCCAAUACUAAAUUGGAGACACUCUUGACCAAGACUUUCUUUUUCUUUAAUUUCUAUCUUCUUUGAUAUUUGCUUGAAACUUUUAAUUUUAACGUUUAGAUGUGUUCUUCUUCACACAGGUUUUGUAUAUCAAUUUUUUUUCUAAAAUUAAGCUUAACAAAUAAUUUUAUCUAUUGACCAAUAUGCCCCUGAUUCCACUUCCCCAGAAAUUUUUGCCCUAUUUUACACACAGGUGCUCCCGGAGAAGCAACAAUUUGGAGCAUAGCAAAAAAUGGAAGGUGAAUGAGGCAAUAGAGAAUUUAAGAUUUUCUGCUAAGCCAGUGCUUUCUUCAUUAAUGGAACAGAAAGCCAAAAACCCUUUUAAAAGAACAAGAAUAACAAACAUUAUUAAUAUUUUAUUCUUCCAAACACACGCUAAUUAUACUCUUCUUCCUUCUCUUUCUCCUCUCUUUGUAUUGCUGAAUGCUGAUGUUGUAAUGGGGCUAUGGUGAUUGAUUGCUUCCCUUCUGGACUAUGUUCAAUCACGGUAUUGAGGAAAAUACGACCC